GUGGGGAAUCUUAGACAAUGGGCGCAAGCCUGAUCUAGCCAUGCCGCGUGAGCGAUGAAGGCCUUAGGGUUGUAAAGCUCUUUCGUGGGGGAAGAUAAUGACUGUACCCCAAGAAGAAGCCCCGGCUAACUCCGUGCCAGCAGCCGCGGUAAUACGGAGGGGGCUCGCGUUGUUCGGAAUUACUGGGCGUAACGCGCACGUAGGCGGACUGGAAAGUCAGGGGUGAAAUCCCGGGGCUCAACCCCGGAACUGCCUUUGAAACUCCCAGUCUUGAGUGCGAGAGAGGUGAGUGGAAUUCCGAGUGUAGAGGUGAAAUUCGUAGAUAUUCGUAGGAACACCAGUGGCGAAGGCGGCUCACUGGCUCGAUACUGACGCUGAGGUGCGAAAGCGUGGGGAGCAAACAGGAUUAGAUACCCUUGUAGUCC
rnacentral:rRNA from 1 species